rnacentral:rRNA from 1 species
CCUACGGGUGGCAGCAGUGGGGAAUAUUGGACAAUGGGGGCAACCCUGAUCCAGCCAUGCCGCGUGUGUGAAGAAGGCCCUCGGGUUGUAGAGCACUUUCAGUGAGGAAGAACGCCUGGUGGUUAAUACCCAUCAGGAAAGACAUCACUCACAGAAGAAGCACCGGCUAACUCCGUGCCAGCAGCCGCGGUAAUACGGAGGGUGCGAGCGUUAAUCGGAAUUACUGGGCGUAAAGCGCGCGUAGGUGGCUUGAUAAGCCGGUUGUGAAAGCCCCGGGCUCAACCUGGGAACGGCAUCCGGAACUGUCAAGCUAGAGUGCAGGAGAGGAAGGUAGAAUUCCCGGUGUAGCGGUGAAAUGCGUAGAGAUCGGGAGGAAUACCAGUGGCGAAGGCGGCCUUCUGGACUGACACUGACACUGAGGUGCGAAAGCGUGGGUAGCAAACAGGAUUAGAUACCCGGGUAGUC